rnacentral:tRNA from 1 species
AUUUAAAUAGUUUAAGAAAAAUACUAAUUUGUGGAAUUAGAGAUAUAUCUAUUAUUUUAAAUA